AUUUAUUUAUUGAUUUUUUUUAAUUGGAAAAAAAAAUCCGCUAUGGACUGAGGGUGCGAAGUUUGAAGCGGGAAGUAGCGAGGGAUCACUAUAUUGAAGUGAUUUUUAGAACUAGGAGAUGGAAUAGGGGCUUGCUCUGUCCACUCCAUGCAUCGACCUGGUAUUGCAGUACCUCCAGGGACAGUGCACCUCAC